GACGAACGCUGGCGGCGUGCUUAACACAUGCAAGUCGAACGGUAAGGCCUUGCUUUCGUGGGGUGCUCGAGUCGCACAGGGGUGAGUAACACGUGUGUCCUACGUCUUAGACUUUGGUAUGACUUCGGGACACUGGGGAUAAUCCCGUAUAGGCGAUCCUGCUGCAUGGUGGGGGUUGGAAAGUUUCGGCUGUUGGUAUAGGUCUCGCGGCCUAUCAGCUUGUUGGUGGGGUAGUGGCUCACCAAGGCGUUGACGGGUAGCCGGCCUGAGAGGGUGACCGGCCACACUGGGACUGAGACACGGCCCAGACUCCUACGGGAGGCAGCAGUGGGGAAUAUUGCACAAUGGGCGCAAGCCUGAUGCAGCGACGCCGCGUGCGGGAUGACGGCCUUCGGGUUGUAAACCGCUGUCAGCAGGGACGAAGCGUGAUUGACGGUAAUGGGAAAAGAAGCACCGGCUAACUACGUG
rnacentral:rRNA from 1 species